rnacentral:piRNA from 1 species
GAGUCACAUUGGUCCUCCAUAG